UACGAAGGGGGCUAGCGUUGUUCGGAAUUACUGGGCGUAAAGGGCGCGUAGGCGGCCUACUAAGUCAGACGUGAAAUCCCCCGGCUUAACCUGGGAACUGCGUCUGAUACUGGAAGGCUUGAGGAUGGGAGAGGGAUGUAGAAUUCCAGGUGUAGCGGUGAAAUGCGUAGAUAUCAGGAGGAACACCGGUGGCGAAGGCGGGUCUCUGGGCCGAUACUGACGCUGAGGAGCGAAAGCGUGGGGAGCGAACAGG
rnacentral:rRNA from 1 species